rnacentral:tRNA from 1 species
GCGCCAGUAGUCUAAUGGUAGGACACCAGCUUCCCAAGCUGGGAAUCCGGGUUCGAAUCCCGGCUGGCGCA